rnacentral:lncRNA from 1 species
CUGAGAGACCAGCACAAUAGUGUUCACAAAAUUAGGGGCUGAGGCAGCUACCUUGGACCAUGAGAUGGAAGUCCAGCAUUGGUAAGGACCUGAGAAUUCUUGACCCAGUCAUCCCAAGAUGCACUCACCCAGAGGGUCAGCUUUUCCAUCCUUGUCUGGAACUGUGAACACCCCUACUACUCGGUGGCCCUCUUUGCGGAGGUGGCUAUAGACUUCUUGUCCAAAGAGGCUCUGGCCAAUUAGUGCCAACUUCAGCUUGUUUUUGAAAUAAACCUGUGAAACAAUUCAA